UACGUAGGGGGCAAGCGUUGUUCGGAAUUACUGGGCGUAAAGGGCGCGUAGGCGGCACGACAAGUCGGGAGUGAAAGCCCGGGGCUCAACCCCGGAAUGUCUCUCGAAACUGUCGAGCUAGAGUGCAGAAGAGGCAACUGGAAUUCCCAGUGUAGCGGUGAAAUGCGUAGAUAUUGGGAAGAACACCUGAAGCGAAGGCGGGUUGCUGGGCUGACACUGACGCUGAGGCGCGAAAGCCAGGGGAGCGAACGGG
rnacentral:rRNA from 1 species